rnacentral:rRNA from 1 species
UACGUAGGGUGCGAGCGUUGUCCGGAAUUAUUGGGCGUAAAGAGCUUGUAGGCGGUUUGUCGCGUCUGCUGUGAAAAUCCGGGGCUCAACCCCGGACUUGCAGUGGGUACGGGCAGACUGGAGUGUGGUAGGGGAGACUGGAAUUCCUGGUGUAGCGGUGAAAUGCGCAGAUAUCAGGAGGAACACCGGUGGCGAAGGCGGGUCUCUGGGCCGUAACUGACGCUGAGGAGCGAAAGCAUGGGGAGCGAACAGG